rnacentral:rRNA from 1 species
AUACGUAGGGAGCAAGCGUUGUCCGGAUUUACUGGGUGUAAAGGGUGCGUAGGCGGCAAUGCAAGUCAGAUGUGAAAUCUAUGGGCUCAACCCAUAAACUGCAUUUGAAACUGCGUUGCUUGAGUGAAGUAGAGGCAGGCGGAAUUCCCCGUGUAGCGGUGAAAUGCGUAGAGAUGGGGAGGAACACCAGUGGCGAAGGCGGCCUGCUGGGCUUUAACUGACGCUGAGGCACGAAAGCGUGGGUAGC